AAAUGAAUUGACGGGGGCCCGCACAAGCAGAGGAGCAUGUGGCUUAAUUCGAUGCAACGCGAAGAACCUUACCUGGGCUUGACAUGCAGCUGCAAGGCCUAUGAAAGUAGGCCGCCUUCGAGGGUGCUGCACAGGUGCUGCAUGGCUGUCGUCAGUUCGUGCCGUGAGGUGUUUGGUUAAGUCCACCAACGAACGCAACCCCUUUGGGAUGUUGCCAGCGGGUAAAGCCGGGAACUCGUCCCAGACUGCUUGUUCACGCAAGAGGAAGGUGGGGAUGACGUCAAGUCAGUAUGGCCCUUACGUCCAGGGCUGCACACGUGCUACAAUGGCCGGUACAGAGGGACCCGAUGCCGCGAGGCGGAGGAAACCCCAGAGAGCCGGCCCCAGUUCAGAUCGGGGUCUGCAACCCGACCCCGUGAAGUCGGAUUUGCUAGUAACGGCGCAUCAGCAUUCGGUGCCGUGAAUGCGUUCCCGGGCCUUGUACACACCGCCCGU
rnacentral:rRNA from 1 species